GCCACGGUGGCAGAGUCCGGCUUACGCGGCUGCCUGCAGAGCAGCUACACCCCGGUUCAAAUCCGGGCCGUGGCU
rnacentral:tRNA from 1 species